rnacentral:rRNA from 1 species
CCUACGGGGGGCAGCAGUGAGGAAUAUUGGUCAAUGGGCGCGAGCCUGAACCAGCCAAGUAGCGUGAAGGAUGACUGCCCUACGGGUUGUAAACUUCUUUUAUAAAGGAAUAAAGUGAGUCACGUGUGCCUCUUUGCAUGUACUUUAUGAAUAAGGAUCGGCUAACUCCGUGCCAGCAGCCGCGGUAAUACGGAGGAUCCGAGCGUUAUCCGGAUUUAUUGGGUUUAAAGGGAGCGUAGAUGGGUUGUUAAGUUAGUUGUGAAAGUUUGGGGCUCAACCGUAAACUUGCAAUUGAUACUGGCAGUCUUGAGUACAGUUGAGGUAGGCGGAAUUCGUGGUGUAGCGGUGAAAUGCUUAGAUAUCACGAAGAACUCCGAUUGCGAAGGCAGCUUGCUAGACUGCCACUGACGUUGAUGCUCGAAAGUGUGGGUAUCGAACAGGAUUAGAUACCCCAGUAGUC